rnacentral:rRNA from 1 species
CUACGUGCCAGCAGCCGCGGUAAUACGUAGGUGGCAAGCGUUGUCCGGAUUUAUUGGGCGUAAAGCGAGCGCAGGCGGUUCCUUAAGUCUGAUGUGAAAGCCCCCGGCUCAACCGGGGAGGGUCAUUGGAAACUGGGGAACUUGAGUGCAGAAGAGGAGAGUGGAAUUCCAUGUGUAGCGGUGAAAUGCGUAGAUAUAUGGAGGAACACCAGUGGCGAAGGCGACUCUCUGGUCUGUAACUGACGCUGAGGCGCGAAAGCCAGGGGAGCGAACGGGAUUAGAUACCCCGGUAGUCCUGGCCGUAAACGAUGGGUACUAGGUGUAGGAGGUAUCGACCCCUUCUGUGCCGGAGUUAACGCAAUAAGUACCCCGCCUGGGGAGUACGACCGCAAGGUUGAAACUCAAAGGAAUUGACGGGGGCCCGCACAAGCGGUGGAGUAUGUGGUUUAAUUCGACGCAACGCGAAGAACCUUACCAGGUCUUGACAUUGAUGGACAGAACUAGAGAUAG